UUUCCUAAUCUCUGUUUUUUGCAAAAUUCUUUUGGGUAUAUUCAUGUAGACAAAUGUAGCCCCAGGUUGUUCCAAUCAACUUUUGUUUGUUAUACAAUCAGAGACUUCUAUUGAAUCUUUUCAAGCCAUUGAUAAACAAUUUCUUUUCAAAUUACUGGCAGAAGAGUGGUCCUUGGAUUGUGAGUUCAAUAACUACUCCUAUUAAACUAAACUCCUUGUUCAUAGCAGACAAGAAACAAAUACUUAGAGAAUGAGUGACUUAAUGAAUAAAUUUGUAAUGCCUAGACUACAAAAAAAUGAAGAUUACUUAAAGGGACGCAAUAGUUUAAUCUGAUGUGUGUUAAAUAAGCCAGAUUCUUGAAUAUUGUCUUAUUAGGAAAAAAAUACUGCAAGAAAAUGAUGGCUUUAAUUGAAUGCAUCCAGAGAAUGAAAUCAAAGAUUAUAGAGCAAUUGACUUGCGCUAAGUAUGUCUAAGUAUUCUGCUAAAGUACUAAAUUGAAUUAUGAAUUAAAUCCUCUUAUUUAAACAAAUGUAUUAUGCUUCUUUGAGGUUUAUUCUAUCUGUAUUCAGUAUUUUUAUUUGAUUUAGACUUUUCCUGUGAUACUUAGAUAAGAGGAUAAAAUCUAUUUGAAAGAAAUUCUUAUAAGUUUGGUGUGAUUUAUUAUACUUCUAUUGAAAGUUUUCUUUUUCUUUUUUUGAAACCUGUUAAAUCUUGACCCAGAAUUUAUUCACCAAUCUGCAAGUAUUCAGUCAUGUUUUGGAAUUCUGUCAUGGAAUUCUGUCAUGUUUUGGAAUACAAUAGCUUUUUAAGUUUCUUUAAGUAAGAAGUAAGAUAAUAAUCAUUAAACAAAUGCUGCAUUUAUGAAACUGCCCUCACACUUUUAGGCCUGGGGGUUAGACAGUGAGAACAAAGGGCCAAGGCUACCGUCACUGAAUUUGGGAAGUGGGAUGGCAAGGCAGUGUUUCAGUACCCUUGGUCCCUCCAAAAUAAUAUAAUGUAAACAAUUUUUUCUUUUUUUAAAAAAAUGUUUAAUUUUUUUUAAUUGUUAUUUCCCCAAUACAAUUUUUUUCCUACUGUACAGCAUGGUGGCUCAGUUACACUUACAUGUACACAUUCUAUUUUCUCCCAUUAUCAUGCUCCAUCNAUCGUACGUGACUAGACAUGGUUCCCAGUGUCACACAGCAGGAUCUCACUGCUAAUCCAUCCCAAAGGCAACAGUCCACAUAUAUUAACCUCAAGCUCCCAAUCCAUCCCUCUCCCUCCCCCUCCCCCUUGGCAGCCACAGGUCUAUUCUGCAAGUCCAUGAGUUUCUUUUCUGUGGAAAGGUUCAUUUGUGCUGUGUAUUAGAUUCCAGAUAUAAGUGAUAUCAUAUGGUAUUUGUCUUUCUCUUUCUGACUGUCUUCAUUCAGUAUGAGAGUCUCUAGUUCCAUCCAUGUUGAUGCAAAUGGCAUUAUUUUGUUCU
rnacentral:lncRNA from 1 species